GGGCUGGGUGGAUAAUCGAGAGUGUCUUCAUUGACCUCUCACCCUUCACAUCCACAUACACCUGUGCACCGUUUGGCUCUUUUAAAAGACGCAAGUCUGCAAAGAGAGUCAUCAAUUUUAUACAUACCCCAGUCUUAUGAAUGUAACAGUUUUAAUAAACAUAAUAAAACUUUUAACAACGGAUCUCUUGGUUCUCGCAUCGAUGAAGAACGCAGCGAAAUGCGAUAAGUAAUGUGAAUUGCAGAAUUCAGUGAAUCAUCGAAUCUUUGAACGCACCUUGCGCUCCUUGGUAUUCCGAGGAGCAUGCCUGUUUGAGUGUCAUGAAACUCUCAACCUUCAACUUUUUUAUUAAGGCUGAAGGCUUGGACUUGAGCGCUGCUGGUUUUCACUAACCGGCUCGCUUGAAAUGAAUUAGCAGAUCCUUUUUGUAAUCGGUUCCACUCGACGUGAUAAGUAUUUCGCCGAGGACAUACGAAAGUAUGGCCGAGAUAAGAGAAGUCUUUUAGAUCCGCUUCUAAUUCUUAGAUCAAGCUUGCUUGACUAAACCCCAUUUUAUGAUCUGGCCUCAAAUCAGGUAGGACUACCCGCUGAACUUAAGCAUAUCAAA
rnacentral:rRNA from 1 species